ACACAACACUCUUGCGGGUUAAUAGAUCCUUCAACCUUUCGAUAUUUCGUCGAGGGAAUUCAAUAAAACAUGAAGAAAGGCAAACGCGCACACGGCGAGCCUCAUAAUAAAAGUAUUCACCAUAGCUCAUAGACGUCACAGACCGCUGCUUACAACCAAAGGGGACUCCUCAAACUGUUUGAAGAACAUGAUAUGGCGCCCGGACAACACUUUGAAGCAGAGUUCACUCCAAAGCCGGAUGAUACGUAACAAAAAACGCAGCAGCUAAGUAUGCAUAUCAUCCCCAGAUUUUCAUGGCACCAGGAAUCCUGAAAUCCAGAAUCCAGGAAGCGCAAAGACCGUCCGACGUUUUGUUCCCGAUUAUUUAUUUAAAUUUGUUUUUCAUUAAUUCGAUGUAUUUUUGAUUCCUUAACUUACGAGAACUUUGCUGUGUAUUUGUAGUUAAUUCAUACGUAUAUCGUUAAAAUCUAUAUAUAUAAAAAUGAAUUGCUGUCCGUUAGUCUCGCUAAAACUCGAGAACGGCUGGACCGAUUUGGCUAAUUUUGGUCUUGAAUUGUUUGUGGAAGUCCAGAGAAGGUUUAAAAGGUAGAUAAAUAUGAAAAUGCUCGGAAUUAAAUAAAAAUAAACAAAAUGUUUUUCGUAUGA